CACUCUGUUUACACAUCCACUCACACCUGUGCANNNUCUGUAGUUCUGUGGCUGGGGGACUCUGUCCUCCUGCUGUGGUUCUAUGUCUUUACACACACUCUGUAUUAAAGUCUCAUGGAAUGUAUGCCGCGUUUAACGCAAUAAAAUACAACUUUCAGCAACGGAUCUCUUGGCUCUCGCAUCGAUGAAGAACGCAGCGAAAUGCGAUAAGUAAUGUGAAUUGCAGAAUUCAGUGAAUCAUCGAAUCUUUGAACGCACCUUGCGCCCUUUGGCUAUUCCGAAGGGCAUGCCUGUUUGAGUAUCAUGAACACCUCAACUCUCAUGGUUUGCCAUGAUGAGCUUGGACUUUGGGGGACUUGCUGGCCUGCAGUCAGCUCCUCUCAAAUGAAUCAGCUUUCCAGUGUUUGGUGGCAUCACGGGUGUGAUAAAUAUCUACGCUUGUGGUUUGCUGCCAGGUAACCUUCAGCAAUGGGGGUUUGCUGGGGCUCAUAAAUGUCUCUCCUCAGUGAAGACAGCUUUGUGAAUGUUUGAUCUCAAAUCAGGUAGGACUACCCGCUGAACUUAAGCAUAUCAAUAAGCGGAGGAAAAGAAACUAACAAGGAUUCCCCUAGUAACUGCGAGUGAAGCGGGAAGAGCUCAAAUUUAAAAUCUGGCAUGCCUCUGGCUGUCCGAGUUGUAGUCUGGAGAAGCGNUUUCCGUGUUGGACCGUGUAUAAGUCUCUUGGANCAGGGCGUCAUAGAGGGUGAGAAUCCCGUCUUUGACACGGACUACCNAUGCUUUGUGAUGCGCUCUCAAAGANUCNA
rnacentral:rRNA from 1 species